AUCCCUCAAAUCCCAAUGUUUUGCAAAAUUCAUUGCUUGGAUUUGGUUGUGGGCCUUUUGCUACUUUGCUGUAGCUGGCCUAAAAGAGAUUAGCUGGGCUAUCCGACUCUUGGUAGUUUCCACUUGAUGUGAUAAAAUUGCAUCGGUGGGUCAAUGACUGCUAAAGGACUGAGAAGCUUGCUUCCAACCUGGCGCGAGGUUCCAUCCUCUACCCAAUUCAUUUACAU
rnacentral:misc_RNA from 1 species